UUUACAUCUACGUAGACUCGCAACCAAGGGAAUUCAACUUGGAACAUGGACGGAACAUCAUGCUGACCCAGUGGGCGGCUGCGGAUUUGGAAUCUGCUCGCGAGUCUUCCCUACGGCAGCCCGGCCCUCUGUGACCUCAUCCACGGGGGGGCUGGACCACAGGGCCUCAGCAUGGCGAGGCUCAGCUGCUGGGGCCACAUGCUGCCACAUGCAAGUCCGGGGCAAGAGAUGGACUUCCCUAGCAGGCGACCACGGUCUUCUCCUCGAUGAUGCAGUCGCUGUAGAGAGAAUUCCGGGGAUAGCGACCAUUACCGCAGCCCGUCAUCAUCACGGCCGCUGCCCCUCCGCCGGGCACGUUCAUCAUCAUAGCCAACUAAUCACCCGGCCGCCGGACCCCGCAGCACCACGGAGGCAGCCGGGCGCGAGGGGCCGUGUGCGGAGAAAGGACACGACUGCCAGAGGCCCAGACAGAGAGGGCUGCAGACGGGCCCUGAAGAAGCCGGCAGACCCGUCCCAGAGAAGCGGGCCCAGGGACAUGAGUGGCGAGCAGCUGGAGAAACAUGCACAGCCAGCUGUGACAGCACAGCCAGCCUGGACCAGGGUCAGAGGCCGCGCCCACAGUGCCGAGAUGUAACAGGAAGCCCCGGGGAGCCGUCCCUACGAUGGCUGUGAGUAGCCGCAAGUGGCCUUGGCAGGCAGCCAGGGCCCUGUGGCCCCGGGGAGGCAGCGAGGGCAGAACUUCACCGGGGAGUGGGCUCGCCCCGGCCCUGGGGCUCACAAGCGGCCGGGCAGGUGCAAACCUGCAACCUGCUUGUGGGCCUCCUUUGCCAUGGAAGGUUCUCCAAAGGCCCCACCACCAAGGCCAAGGGCCUUUGGUCCAUCCUACCGUAUGUCUCCUCUCUGCAUGAGGAGCUGCAGCCCCCGAAACUCUGGAAGGAUGCCGGACCCGGGGGUCCAGGGCUCGCUGCCCUGUGCCGUCCCCUGCGAUGUCCGCCUCUGCCCGGCUCCGAGGGGAACCUGUCGUGUACUCGGGGCCCUGUUCCAGCUGCCAGGCAGCUCCACCCGCAGGACCAAACGCUGCCCAAACGUGGGUCAUUUCCUGCCAGCUGUCCCCCAGACAGGGGACUUCUCAGCACCAGUGGGGCUGCCCAGAUACCCACUGUCGUCUCCUACUGACCACAUGAGGUGAAGGUGCUCCAGGGUGGGGGGUGGGGGCACCCCCUGUGGCGUCACACGGAGCCCAGCUCUGCUCUCACCCAAGGUCACUAUGACCUUCCGAGCCUCAGAGCCCCGCUCUGGAAAAUGAGAAUCCCAAUGAUAUGUCACCGGGCCCUCAAGAGGCGUGCAAGAGCUAACCCUUCCAGCACGCCAGCCGCCCCGGUCCAGGUGUGCACUCAUAGCAGGGACUGCGAGCAGACUGGUGUCUGCGUCCAGUCCCUCCCGACUCCCUCCUCCCGUAAGAACCCCUCCGAUCUCGCCACCAUCCAGGUUCAAACAUUCUCCUCCAUUCCUAACCCAUCCCAGAACCUUCUAGCUCGUACUUGCGACUGUGCAACUGUCUUGCUGCUAAAGUGUAACGGCGCCAUCCUGUUUACUGAACAAACACCACACUCCUUAGUCUCGUGUUGAGAAGGACCGUUUCUAACUUCUCUUUCCUGCACUAUCUCAGGAUCUAAACAGUCCCCUGUCCCCCACCCAGCGUGACCCCAUCUCACUUUCAUUCGCAGACAGACUGGGGUUUGAAUCCUGACUCAGACAGCUACCGGCUCCGCUACUCAGAGCCUCAGUUUCCCCAUGUGCAAAGUGGGGGCAAAAACAUCUGCCUUGUAAGGUUUACAAGGAGCAAUUGAGACAAUGCCCAGUAAGUGCCCUGUGUGCGGCCAGGCCACCCCUAACCAGCAUAUGCUGCUCUUGGUGUCCCCACGCACCCUCCCACGCUGGGGAACCAAGGAGCAAAUGUCCCUCUGCCCGAAGAGACAUGCACUCGUGGGGCCAGGGACCUCAUGCUGCAGGUCACCCCAAAUGACCACAGCACCCCGCAUGGGCCAGGCACCCCAUGUGUGCCCAGAGGGGAAGUAAAAUGGGCAUGAACUCGAGUCAGCAGUGCAGCAGGGAGAGAAUGGACGUUGGGCAGGGGUUGGCCAAAGGGUGACCACAGGGUUUGGAGUGUGGAAGGCUCCAGGACAGUGGGCAGCCACACCAGAGGGCAGGCACAGCUCAGCACUGGGCAGCGCCAACUCAGGCGGCUGGCGUGGGCCAGGGAGCCACAGAGGAAAGAGGAAAGGCAGCCUCAGGCCCUCAGAAACCUUCACUCCUUAGAGCAACUCACGAAGAGCAAUGGGACAUUCUAGAAGAGCCGCUCCCCUAAAACAGGACCCGAGUCUGGUUCUGCCCUGGGUCUGCAACAUCCCGCCAGCCCCACGGAAUCAGAACCCCACCCUCGGGCCUCAGGAAGGAGCCUCUUUGGAGAUGCAAAACUCUCAGAAGCUCCUUCUGCCGGUUUAGGAACCUAAAAUCUGUCCCAGGCGGCAGCCCUGGCCACGUCUGAAGUCGUGGCACUGAGACACGGUCUCUGUGUGCUGCCCCCGCCUGAACUGCAGUGAAGCCCCCACGAACUGCAGCCUGCUGCCCUCCGCCCUGGCCAAGCCCGCGCUGGCCCCACACCAGCUUAUCUGCUGUCAGAUGCAGCCCGGUGCACCCUGAUCCGACCUCACGGGCGUGGGGUCAGCUGAGGAGGCCCCUGCACGCCCCCUCGCUGCUCCUGGAGAGCCUUGCCCAAGCCUCUGCUGGGGCCCUUCUAGCCCCAACCAUUGACGGAUCCCGUGUCUGCAUGGUCACCGUGGGCUCCCUGGGAGCAACACCCUGCCCUGUCUCUCUAAACCUCGCCCCCAGGGCACGACAUCUCCCUGUACUUGUUACCGGACCAGAAUGCAGUCCAGUGGCAUUCUCUCCAAAUGUGCUUUCUGAGCAGGGUGGGAGGCCACCGUGACGUACCCCACAUGUGCCUUCCUUUGCCAACUUGUGCCUGCAGCAGGAGCUGUGGGAAGCAGACAGGGUGGGCAUGCAGCCCUGUCAAGCACAGCCGUGCAGGUUGUGCACAGCACAACUACAGAGGACACCACUUACACCGCGGCCCUCACAGAACCACGUGCUUACAGUGGCAAUUUCAGCACAGAUGGAAGCGAAGUGUCUUGGGAAAGGGGCAAGCACACUUGGCUAGUUCAAACAAAGAUGGGGCAUAAGCCAUCGCCCGCCAUGGACAAUGCAAGAGCAGUCCUUAUAGGAACCACACAGAUCUCUGGGAGACACAACCAACUCCGUGCUGAAACUCUCCUGGGAGCCAGCCGGCAGGGACCAGGAAAGGUUUCCUCGUUUGUGCUCACGGCACCCAACAGGAAAGAGCUUACUGGACACACUUGCGGCAAUCUGUAGCCAGGAGCAAGACGGGAGGGUUGUGGGGACUCCGGGUCCGCCACGCAGGGGGCCCCAAGGCGUCACCCCACUGGCAGGCCCGGCGAUGCUCCUGCCGUCUACCUCGCAAGACCAGGUGGCUGAGCGUCAAGUGGUUUUUAGCGUGGCCUGGGGUUCACUGUCCCCAGCCGGCGGCCCACAGGGAAGGCCGCGCUUCAUGUGGUCCGGGAGGCAGCAGGCGCCAGCAAUGACAGCUGGCGUUUUUGGGAUCUGUCAGUCUCCGAACAAGCUCCCUUGGCAGCGGCCCCUGAUCCUGGAGGAGGCGUGAACUCGGAGCCACAGGAAGCCCGGCCUGAGCUGGCCGAGUCGUGUGAGCUCGAGGGCCCUGGGUGGCCGUGUCGGCCCUACCCCACAGGGUCCCCGUGGGCAUCUGAACUGUGACCACCAGGGUCUCUAGGGUGGACUAGACAGCUUCAUCAGCAGCUCUCAGGAUUCCGGCUGGGACGGUGGCCCUGUCCAGUCUAACGGACACAAUUCUUUAAUCAGCUGGGACUGGGUCUCGGUCUAGGACUGAAGUUCAGACGCGGCUGGGGCCAGUGUCCAGCUGCCAUGUCAAGCAGUGCCUCAGUUCAGCCAUUACUCACAGCUACCUACUGCCAGGUGGUGGACGCCCGGGGGCCGGGCAUUUAGGCGGACGAGCCGGCUCCUGUGGAGAUGCCAGGUGUAGGGGCUGAAAGGUGCCCCGCCCCCCUGAAAGAUGUGUCCAACUCCUAACACUGGCAACUGUGACUGUGGCCUCGUUUGGAAACAGGGUCUUUGCAGCUGUGCUUGGUUAGGGAUCCGGAGGUGAGACCACCCUGGCUUUAGGGAGAGCCCCAAAACCUCACAAGGGAGAGGCGAAGGGUUGACCGAGACGCAGAGGCGGAGGGGAGAAGGCCACGUGGAGACGCAGCAGAGACUGUAAAGACGCGGCCAGCGCCCAGGAGCGCUAAGGAUGGGGGCAGACGCCCCAGGCCGCAGAGGCGGGAAGGCUCCUCCCCCAGAGCCGCCAGGGGAGCUCGGCCCUGCCACACCUCGACUGUGGACGUCGGCCUCCAGACACCUCGAUUGUGGACGUCGGCCUCCAGAACAAGAAUCGGUUUCUCUUGUUUUAAACCACCCUGUUUAUGCUAAUCUGUUACAGCACCACAGGAAGAGCACACAGCAGGCAAGCGGGGAAGGCCAGCGUUCACCCAAUGGCCUCACGGCUUGCGCUCAGCAGCGCAGGACGUGCUCUGCGAGGGACCCGGAAGGCCU